rnacentral:lncRNA from 1 species
CUGGUUCCACCCUGAUUCAGGCUCAGAAUUCCCAAGAGCGAGUGAGCUAUUAAGAACAGAAGGUUGUUUUGGCUCACCGUCCUGGAGGCCAGUCCAAGACCUGCUGAGUGCCCCCUGCUGGACAGCAGCUGUCGAGGAAGGGGAUACAAAGAAUUCACUCCCACAGGAAGGCGUCAGUCGCUGGCACUGAAAGGUUGAGGUACUGGGAUUCAGAGAUAACUCUGAGGAGGUCUUUUCGGAUGAGCAACUUACUAGAGGAGUUAUUAACUCCAUGGAUGGACAGACAGACAGCGGCAUGGCAGCGGCUCUGAGGAGAUCUCAGGCCCCCAAGGUGGCGGAUGGUCCCUUCUAGGUCUCAGGGGAAGGAUGCUCCGUGUCAUGUGACUGGUGAACACGCCACAGCACGGCCUGCAGCCAGGCUGUCCCUGAUUCCUGGGAUGGGGUGGCAGGGGGUGUCACCCUGAGGAUGUGGGGGAGUAGGGACACUUACAGUUAAGAGGCACUCAUAAUCUGGGUAGAGGCUAUGCCACCCCUGCUGUCCUCUGAUGCCCCAGAGUCUGGCAGCCUGAGGCCUGUAAACUUUGGGGAAGUGGAGUCCAGGUAGGUGGGGGUUAGAAGUUUGCAGACAGGCUCCUGGCAGAGCCUGGCCUGUCCCCUGCAGAGGCUGUGGCUACAAAGAGGCUUAUAGUCUAAAGCCAUCAUCCCACCUCAGCACCUUUGGGGGCAACUGCUUUGAAGUGAAGAUGCACUCUGUUUGUGACUAGAAUAACUUGAAGGGCUUCGGAAUCAGUCUUCUAAAAUAAAACAGUACUCAUGAUGUGGGAAGCAUAACAGGGUUGUGGUUUACAGCCAGCUUUCCUGGGACUCUUCAAGGGUCCUGUCAAACAACCCCUGUCUGGGAGGGGCUCCCUUGGCAGCUGGGCUUACAGAACUGAAGACUUCUUGGGCCAGUUCGGGCUCUUAUUUCUAUUUUCAUGGUGAAUACCUUGCUUCCUGACUCCCAAUUGCCCCAACAUUGAGGUUCUUUCUCAACUUAAACGGGGCAGAAUCCGCACCCCCCCAGGCUCUGCUGCCCCCUGUGGCAUUCAUUGUCCCAUGAUCUCGAUCACAGUCUGAAAGCAUUCUGCUGUCCUUUAAACUUGACAAGCCAGAGUGAGUGCAGACCCUCCCACAGCCACAAAUCUCCACUCGGCCCUCCUGCUGUGACGUCCCCUUGUCUUCUCCUUCAGUGACUGCUCCUCUGGGCACUUUAAUCCCCUUCACCCGGCUUCACUGGGGCCAACAUGCAGAUGGCCAACAGGCAGAACGCCAUGACUUACCCAACUAGAACGGGGCUGUUUGUCUCUCUUUCUUGGAAGCCUCUCUCAGGAGUUCCACAAUCUGUUCUCAGAUCAAAAUGGUGUCUCCCUCUGGGUAAAAUUCCAUCGUUGGCCCCCACACAGCCGGCUUUAGCGCUCUCUCUCUCUCUCUCUCUCUCUCUCUCUCUCUCUCUGUCCCCCUUUUCCAACAAGCUCAGUGUUUUGGACUCACCUGGAUUGCAGGCCUCUAAAGAGGAAUUAGAUUCUUUUCUGUAGGGGCUGCCAGGAAGGAACCUACUCUAACCUGAGUUUUGUCCCUCUGGUCCCCUUUGACGCCUGGCUCAUCUGUGUCAUCUUAGGUUGGAACUAAGGACUAAACAGCCCACAAUUCCUGUAACUGAACACACACCAGCAGACAUCCCACCAGGAAUAUGUCUAUGAUGGGCUGUGAUGGGUUCCCC